rnacentral:lncRNA from 1 species
GAACCAGAGCCGAACCCUUUCAUCUGCAGCUGCCUUCUGCGUGGUGUUUCUUGAUCUGAAGUACACAGCAUUUGACUUGGUCCUAAGUGGGAGUUUCAAGCACUCCUCUUUUAGAUUUCUGUCACAGAAAAGGGAAACAAGGGAUAGUAAUCACAGGGCUCAAGACACGAGAGAGACUGUAAUGCGUCUCUGAACCGGCGAAUAUGGUCUUGCUCAUUCCAACACAUCGUAGUGCAAAUCUGCAGCAGUGCAGGUGAGCAAAUCUUAAAGGUAGAGCAAAGGGUUUUUAAGCCCUGCGGGAUUUGUGGCAUUUAAAUGCUGUAUCUUCUCAACCUAGCUGUAAUCUCUAUCACAUAAUCCAGCGGCUCAAGCACAAACUUCUAGAAUGAGGGGUGGUUUCUCUGCUUUGUGCUAAACACACCCCAAAUGCCCUGAGACAGCAAUUCUCAACCAGGGGAGAUUUUGCCCCCAGGGGAUAUUAGGCACUGCCUAGAAAUAUUUUUGGUGGUCAGAGCUCAGGGGUAGGGUAGGGGGAGGCCACUGGCAUUUAGUGGGUAGAGGCCAGGGGUGUGGCCGGACAUCCUACAAUGCUCCCAACAACAUGGAAUUAUCUGGCCUAAAAUAUGAAUAAUGCUGAGGUUGAGAAGCCCUGCACUAACAGAGUGAAGUAAUCUGCUCCAAGUUCUGGUACCCUAAAUGUGGAGAUGUUGAAGAAAUGAACUUCAAUCUCCAGAUGCUGCGUGCUUCUCUGGAGGUGGAACAGUUCAUGACACGUCCAGAGGGCUGGUGGUGUGCAUAUGCCACCUUGGUGACUCACAGCACAGCAAUGCGGGCAUGUCUGAUGGUGUGGAAAAGGGAAAUGUCUGUAGCCUGCUUCCUGUUCCAUGAUGGGAUGUGGAGGAUAAAAGGUGACCAGCUGCUCACCAUCAGGCUGCAAGUGUCUACAGUGGAACCAGAUGUCCUCUUUGAGGACCAGCACUAGAAGCCUCUUGGAACACUUCUGUUACGGGAGGCAGGGAAGUGGCAUACUAUUGCCCGGUGCCACAAAAAUGCUUCCUUCAGUGGCGCUUUGCCAGUUGGAGGGGUGGUGGACUGUGAUGGGAACCCACGAGGGAACUGAAUGCACACAGCCGCCGACAGCUGGCCAGCCCCACAGGCAGCUUGAUGCCAAAGACACCAGGCCCCUCAGAAUGCCUGGGCAUCAGGAAAAGAAAGCCCAGUUGGCAGGGUCUGCCUAGAAACUAGGCCUGCAGGGGAGAGGACUUCAUUAGAAGGGACAUUGCCAAGCCUCAUACCAGGAAAGCCAGGUCAUCUUUCUCUACCAUCCACUCCCCAGGUGACUGGGCACCUCAUUUUGCCUUAUUUUUAGCAUGACCACACUUCCCAGUUUACACCUGCGGUCUUGGCAUCAUCAUUAACUCCCCUUUCACUCUCAAAAAUGUCUUCCUUUGGAGAAUAAAUUAUACGAUCACUCUGUUAAUUGUACUUCAGUUUCCUCUGACACGGAAGUAUUUUUGGGGGCCAUUAUAUUUAUAAAAGAUUUUUGUACAGCAUGGGCUAAAUCUUAAAAUAUAUCAUUAAUGGAAUCCGAAAGAAUGGUCAUCAAUUCAUAUAGAGGAGAAAAACAGCAUGUUUCCUGAAUAGUUAGUUUUUUAUAGGGAAAAAGGGAGACUAAUUCAAAUCCCUUGAAAAAGAAGAAUCUUUAGUUAUAAAUUUCAAAGUCCCUACCCAAUCUCGGCAAGUUCUAAUGGGAAAUGAAAUAGCUGGGCAGUAGGGAAGGGAAGAAGCAAGGGACUAUGGUAAUCCACAAACUAGAAAAUGAGCUGGAGUCACUGGGCUGUGUCGCAGAGAUAAUCCUCUGUGUAGAGGUCUGCUUUUUUAAAACUCAGCCCUGCAGAUUUUGCCGGUGCUCUGGGAGUUAACAAAUCAACGCCAUUCAAGAUUUAUCCUUCCAGAGCCACUCCUGGUGGGAGACCUGCGGGGAGGGGUUUUUGUUUUUAUUUUUGUUUUUGUUUUGCCAAAGAUGAAAGCACCACUGUCCCUGGCAUCUGAGAGUUUUGUUAAGACAUAAAAAAAAAAAAACAAAACACAACUUUGUUUCUUUUUUUUUUCAUCUUGCUUCUCUUCAACUCCAUCUUUCUCAGACUGGUUUUUAAAGGCAGGGGUCUUCCUCCCCAGCCACGUGCAUUAUCUUGCGCUUUGCAUUGACACCACUGCUUUAUUGUGAUGCCAGGGACUGGCAUGAAAUGUGGAUUUUGAAGAUGUCUCACUGGAGAUGUCUGACUGCAACAGAACUCGAGUAAGUCAAUAAGCAAAGCAGCUGACAGAUAAUUUCAAGGGGCUUUCAUUUUAUUUCCUCUUCCACAGCAGAGUUUGUGAUUUUGAACCAGUGGUCACAACCUUUAAGAUCCUCAGUUUCAUCAUUUGCAAAUACUAGCUGGUUAUAAAUAAGGUGGUGCAACUAGGGAAGCUAAAAUUCUUAAAAAGGUUAAUGGCAACUUGAGAUCAAUGCUAAUUCCUUACAUAAUUCUGUUUAGAUAAAAAAAUCUGUCUCAGCUGGGCGCAGUGGCUCAUGCCUGUAAUC